rnacentral:rRNA from 1 species
AGCAGCCGCGGUAAUUCCAGCUCCAAUAGCGUAUAUUAAAGUUGUUGCAGUUAAAAAGCUCGUAGUUGAACUUCGGGGUCUACCCAUUGGUCAGGCUUAAUUGUCUGCACUGGUGAGAUGAAUCUCUACCUUCUGAGGAACUUUCAUGCCAUUUAUUUGGUGUGAUGGGAAAUCAGGACUGUUACUUUGAAAAAAUUAGAGUGUUUAAAGCAGGCUAUCGUCUGAAUACAUUAGCAUGGAAUAAUGAAAUAGGACGGACUGAUUCUAUUUCGUUGGUUUCUAGGAUCACCGUAAUGAUUAAUAGGGAUAGUUGGGGGCAUUAGUAUUCAAUUGUCAGAGGUGAAAUUCUUGGAUUUAUUGAAGACUAACUACUGCGAAAGCAUUUGCCAAGGAUGUUUUCAUUAAUCAAGAACGAAAGUUAGGGGAUCGAAGACGAUCAGAUACCGUCGUAGUCUUAACCAUAAACUAUGCCGACUAGGGAUCGGACGAAGUUAAAAAAAUGACGCGCUCGGCACCUCAUG